rnacentral:lncRNA from 1 species
AGAAAGGUUCUGAAUUGAACAAGAAGAGAUGGAUUCUGGACCAGGACAGGAAGAGAGAUGCUUGGACACUGGGAAGAAUCUUUCUGUGCUCUGACUGGACAAUAAACAAAUAUAUGUAGAAAUAAGAGUUGGAAACGUAUGUCACACUUUGGCCCGCCACUGAAUGCACUGUUCUCCCUUAAGAAUAGAAGAUUGUCAUCACCAGAAUUUUCAAGGAACUAACACAUGCUUGUAGCUGGACGUGAGGUUUAUAGUGCUGGCACUGUUUAAGAAUGUCUGCUACCCUGGAAACAUAAUGGAAAUGGUUAUUUUAAGAUACGAGUCUCCUGAUCAGGGAUGGUGUGCCAGUCAUUGUGCUCCAACUCCAUGCAAUGAAAGGCACCACUAAUAAACUGGCAGCCCUCUUUUCUUCAGAUCUUGCAUAUGACUUUAUAAUCCUUCUCAACAAUUCACUCCAGAAAACCACUAUUAAGUGAUCAGAGUUGGUGGUUGAGAUGAAAACUAUUUCUCAUCUCUUCCACAUGUGAAUAC